UACAGAGGUCUCAAGCGUUGUUCGGAUUCAUUGGGCGUAAAGGGUGCGUAGGCGGCGCGGUAAGUCGGGUGUGAAAUCUCGGAGCUUAACUCCGAAACUGCAUUCGAUACUGCCGUGCUUGAGGACUGGAGAGGAGACUGGAAUUUACGGUGUAGCGGUGAAAUGCGUAGAUAUCGUAAGGAAGACCAGUGGCGAAGGCGGGUCUCUGGACAGUUACUGACGCUGAGGUGCGAAAGCGUGGGGAGCAAACAGG
rnacentral:rRNA from 1 species